UGAUGACUAAGUACACUUGUCACCUCUUCAGAGAAUUCUUCCCUGACACCUAAAGUAGCCAUUCCAUCACUAAGUCAUUCUUAUGUUUUAUUUUUUCUUCAAAGCAUUUAUCAAUAUCUGAAAUAUUCUUGAUUGUUUAUUCUUUUACUCAGUAAAAGCGAUUACCUUGUAUGAGUUGUUGACUGCUAUAUUGCUGACAUCUGUGACCCUGCACAUCUCAAGCAAGUGACGUGGGAGUGGGAGUUGUGAUAAAGUCAAGAGUCAGGCCUGCUGAGAUAUUCCCUGGAGUGACCUCUGAUUACUACCAUCCCCAAAGCAGUAACAAGGUCAGCAUCAGACAGUUUACUUGCUAGUGGCUACUGCAGUGUGAACCCUGGCUAGCAUGUCAGAUAUGGCAGAGAUAUUAGAGUUUUCCAAAGGGGAAUUCUGCAUCCUGGAUACCUGAAAUAGAGACUAUGUUUGGGGAUAAGUAGACUACUUUGAUGCCUUCAGUGUUGAACUCAUGGGGUUCUGGGUAGCCAGGGCCAUUAUCCAACAUCAAAAAAGCUUUUAAAGGCAAUCCCUUACUCACAAGGUACUUCCUGACCUCAGGGACAAAGCAUUGAUGGAACCAAUACAGAAAAAGGAUUUUCAUCAUCCAGGCCUUCUUCUACAGCUGAAAGACUGGCAGCUGGUAUACAACUGUUCCCUGCAAGGAUUGGGAGUUAGCAGCUUUAUGGAUAAGGGCAAUGCUAGUGCUUGCUUCUGUUCCUUACUGAUAAAUAUCGUUUGUGACACUUUUUUUCAGAAUAGGGCAUUUUUGUCUGUAUUAAAAACCUGUUGAGGCAGGUAUCCUUUGUCCUCAAUUAUUUUCUUAAUGAUACCUGGGAACCUGUCUCCUGCCUUUGGUCAGCAGAAACUGCUUCUCCUAUUACCUUGAUAUUUUUAAGGCCAAACCUCUUGCUAAAAUUAUCAAACCAUCCUUUGCUGGUGUUAAAUUUUUCAGCUUUAGAUCCUUCACCUUCCUAUUUGUUUGUUUAUUUAUUUAAGACAGAAUCUCGCUCUGUCUCCCAGGCUGGAGUGCAGUGGUGCAAUCUUGGCUAACUGCAACUUCCACCUCCCGGGUUCAAGUGAUUCUUGUGCUGCAUCCUCCUGAAUACCUGGGAUUACAGGCAUGUGCCACAAUGCCCAGCUAAUUUUUGUAUUUUUAGUAGAGAUGGGGUUUCACCAUGUUGGCCAGGCAGGUCUCAAACUCCCUCCUGACCUCAGGUGAUCAGCCCGCUUCGACCUCCCAAAGUGUUGGGAUUACAGCCAUGAGCCAGUGUACCUGGCCUCUUCACCUUCCUUUUGGUUUAUGUUGUCAUAUAAUGACUCUGCUUUUUCUCAAGUCACAGUAGGGUCUAUAGUUAUACCUUUCUUCUAGCAAUCCUCUACCCACAUAAAACUGCAAUUUCAAUAUGAGAUAAAAAGGUAUUUCACAAAAAAAUGCAAGGUUUUUGGACAUGGUGACAUAGCUGUGGUGAUGGCUUCAUAAAUUUCAUUUUCUUUUUUAACA
rnacentral:lncRNA from 1 species